rnacentral:rRNA from 1 species
UACCAGCACCCCGAGUGGUCGGGACGAUUAUUGGGCCUAAAGCAUCCGUAGCCGGUUUUACAAGUCCUCCGUUAAAUCCAACUGCUUAACAGGUGGGCCGCGGAGGAUACUAUAGGACUAGGAGGCAGGAGAGGCAAGCGGUACUCAGUGGGUAGGGGUAAAAUCCGUUGAUCCAUUGAAGACCACCAGUGGCGAAGGCGGCUUGCCAGAGUGCGCUCGACGGUGAGGGAUGAAAGCUGGGGGAGCAAACCGG